UACGAGAGGCCCAAACGUUAUUCGGAAUUACUGGGCUUAAAGAGUUCGUAGGCGGCGCAACAAGUGGGGUGUGAAAGCCCUCGGCUCAACCGAGGAAUUGCGCUCCAAACUGUUGUGCUUGAGGGACCUAGAGGUGAGCGGAACUGAUGGUGGAGCGGUGAAAUGCGUUGAUAUCAUCAGGAAUACCGGAGGCGAAGGCGGCUCACUGGGGGUCUUCUGACGCUGAGGAACGAAAGCCAGGGGAGCGAACGGG
rnacentral:rRNA from 1 species